UCCUCCUGCCUCAGCCUCCCAGAGUGCUAGGAUUGCAAGUGAGAAAGCAGAUGGCUGAAAUCCUGAUGUGAUGUGGCUGGAUAAUUCUGAAGACCCUGUGGUGGUGACUGUGGGACUGUAAAACAAACUGAGCAAUCCAGAAGCAGCAGUUAGGCAAAAACCAUGCCUUGCUUCCCUGGUGUGAUCUAUCACAGAGCUCACUAGGUGGGCUCAAAGACACACCUGUCUUCCCAAUGUGGGAAAGUGGAUAUAGGUCUCCUCAGGGGCAUGAUGUUGAACAGCUCUUACAAGCUUCUGAAAGCACCCAAAAAAUAGAGAAACUACUUUCUACAAAACUUUGAAGACAAGGAAUAACACAGAGACAUUUGCUUUCUUCAACUAGAUGUCUGUUUUUUUAAUAAUGGGAAACAAUGAGAAAUGAUUUUUCACAAUGUCUCCUUAGCCCUGAGGCUCAACCAGCCCCUACUACUGUGUCUCUCAAUUUGAAGGGCCAUUGAAUUCCCACUCCAUGCCAUAUACUCCAGAUAUACAUGGAAUCGGUGUUUGAAAUUUUAUAUUCAGGAAAAACUGGUUUGAUAAAAUAUUGAAACAAAAUACUUGUGAACAGAUAGACAAAAAAUUCUGUCCUGAUUGUGACAUAAUCAAUUUUCACAACCCCAUGUUAUUCAGAGUGCUCUGAUAUUCCCUGUUAUCAACACUGUGUGCAUGGCAUCUUUUUACUGCUAAAGGACACAGUUCAGAGCAUGGUCUACGUGGCUAUUUGCUCUGGUGAGCGGAAUGUGUCCUCUUGGAGCCCAGCAACUGUCUUGGGAGAAUUCCAGCAUUGUGGUAACACAAUAUGGUGUCUGUGUGUGUGUGCACGUAUGUGUGCAUACGCUGACAGCCCCAUUUUCCUCUGCUUCCUCUGUCCCUUUGUGUCUUUGCAUCCUGUCUUGCCUCCCUUCCUAAAUUCAGGCUUAGAAGUAAAGGAAGGAAAUUAUCAGGAGGGCAGUCCUUGUAACCAGACCCUUGUCAACAUCCUUCACUGUGUCCUGAAGAUAAACAUGUAAGAGGAAGUGCUGAUGUGAAAGGUAUGCACCUAUGUAGCCCUUGAUAAGUAUUGGUCUACAGACACUCAUAAAAGUAGUUCCAUUUAGACUUCCCAAGUGGAGACAGGAGAGAAAGGCCCCAGAGGAGUGAAGAAAGUACUAAUGCUGAUGUGAUGAUGCAGAGGGAAGGCCCCUCAACUCUGUGGUAGACAAACAUGUUGGUCAUUACUGUGAUACAACGGAAGACCAGGCCAAUAUCAUUUUUUAACAGCUUUCUUGCAAUUAAACUUAUAGACAAUAAAAUUCACACAUCUAAAGGAUAUAAUUUGAUGAAUUUUAGUAAAUGUAUACAAUUGUGUAAGCAUCACCAGUAUAGAGUUUUAGAUGUUUUCAUCACAAAAAAACUCCCAUUAUGCUUGAAUGCAGUUAAUCUCUGCCACCACCUGCACCCCUAGGCAAUCACAGAUAUGUUUUGUGUGUCUAUUCUAGACAUUUGUCUGUUCUAGACAUUUCAUAUAAUUGUGAUAAUACACUGUUUUGUCUUUUGUAGGUGACUUUCUUCACCUAGUAUAACAUACUCAAUGUUCAUUCAUGUUGUACCAUGUGUCAGAAUUUUAUUCCUUCUAAUAACUGAAAAAUAUUCUAGUAUGGGGAUAUACCACAUUUUGCUUAUCCAUUCAUGAGUUUAUGGGCACUUGGGUUGUUUCCAGUUUUUGGUUAUUAUGAAUGAUGAUUCCAAAUACAUUAGUGUACAAGUUUUUAUAUAGACAUAUAUUUUUAUUUCUCUCGGGUAUGCAUCUAGGAGUGGAAUUGCUGGGUCAUGUAGUAACUCCAUUUUGAAUGGUUUGAGGAGCUGCCACACUGUUUUCAUGACUCUGACAGUCUUCAUGAGUACAAGCUUAGUUAGUUCUUUUUCUCCUUUAGACUGGCGUUACAGCUUUGGGAACAAAUACUACAGAGUUGAAAUUCCCUUCUUAUCACAUCAUAUUUGGGAGUAUGUGAUGCUCAGAUGGUGUCACUGAUGAUGUUAACCUUCAUCUCUUGUUUAAGGUGGGGUUUGUCAAGUUUCUCCAGUUUUUCUAGUACAGUAACUAUUUUCCAUUCCCUACUUUGUUCUUCAAAAGUGAGUCAAUGAUCGGGGGUGGAAUUAACCUUAACCUUAGGGAAGGCAGAUAGCUACAUACAUUAUUUAGCAUUAUUUGAUCAAGACAAUUUGUCUCCUCUCACCCAUUUAUUUUUUCAAACAUUUAUUUGUAUCAAUAUGGAUUUGUGUGAACUAAUUUUGGGUUAUUUUGCUGAGGGCAUACAUUCCAAAAGAAACUGCAGCAUCCUGAUUUCUGCAGUGCAGCCUAGAACGUGAGGGCCCAGGGAGAUUAGAACACUCAGAUUCCUGACAGCUUCAGGACACAAAGCUUUAGUGAAAUUCCAGGCUCCAUUACUGAGCAGGCAUUAACAAUACAGUUUCCCUGACUUACAUCCCCUCUCCUGACUUCCUAUAACCUGAUGUAAAAUGGGCAUUUAAUUAUGUUACAAAGGUUAUAUACAGGAGAUAUAAUUUAGAAUACCAUUGGGUUACAUUAGUUUUAAAAAACAUUAAUAUGCUACUUUCCCAGAAGAACUACCUGUUGUUGUGACUGAGUCCCCUGUCUGCCACCUUAAACGCCAGUGAUUCACAGUCUCCAAGGUCUCUUGCCCCAGGGAGAGGAUUUCUCUUCCACCAUCAUUAUCAUCAUCGUCAUCACCCAGAGGGUUCAUUGAGUGAACAUUCAUGGGAGAGUGUGAAAUGACUGGUCCCUAAGCCUUGAUGGCCCUUCAUCUAUAGAAAUCAGGGGGCAUGUGAAAUGUUUCCCAACCUUCCUUCAUUAUCCAAAGCAGCCUUUUUAGAUGUUUUUGCCUCCUCAUUAAUCCCUUCCUGCUUGACAAAUGAAAUGUUAAUACCACAGAUAGAAACUGUUUAUGUAUUUUGGUCCUAUGUAGUACCACAAAUGAUUGUAAUGUCUACCAUAUUCCUACCCUCAAAACCCAAUAUUCAGCCCCUUAAGAGGGAUAUUGCACCUAUUGAGAAUACAUGGAACAAUGUGAUGAGGGCAAAAUCUGGAAUUCUGUUCCUGUCCCUUAAUUGAUGUGUGACACUGGAAUCCUUUCUUUGCCUCUGUCAGCCUGCCCUUGGUCAUCUGUAGAAGGGGACUCACAAUGCCUUCCUUAGGAAACUGUUCUGUGGGGAAAAUAAGAAAUCCUGUACAGAGUAGAUGGUACCUGGUAGAACUUCAACAAAUGGUCAUCCUGGCCCACUUUUCUCCUCCCUCCUGGAGAAGUGAUGACUGUUACCUAAACCAAACAGCAUAAUUGCCAUAGAGACCACCGGGAAAUGUAGUAGUAAGAAGUAACACAUGCUCACACUUACAUUAUGAAUAAAGAUUUGGAGCCAUUUCUGUAUUGCAGGAAGACUUUGCUUAGGGAUGUGGGAAGAGGGAAAAGAUCAUGAAUCCAUUUCCUUUAAUUCCAGAUCAUUUUCUGCCCCCUUAUUUGAGCUUCUAGAUUGAUAUUGGAAAAGCAGUUUCCCACUGAGCCCCAAAUGAAGAGAGAACAGAUGAAGGGGAGGCAGGAGUCACAGCCUUUGACCCUUAUACCGAAUCCACUACCACCUACACUGGGAUUCCACCUGCACCUUCAACUUCUUCAAAGAGAAGAGGGUUGUUAAGACCCCGAGUGGCUCAAGAGACAAGCUGGGAUGGCAAUGGAGGACAGUGUCCGGCUGGAAGGCCAGCUCUGCUCCACCUCACAAAGCUGCCUCUUCUAAAUGCUGGGAUCAGGUGAGCAACUCUCAGAGCCCUUGUAUGCUCCUCCUUCAUAGUACUGUUGUGCAAAUUCAGGCAAGGUGACAUUGUGGAAGUGCCUGGCUCCUAUUAAGUACUUGUGAAAUGUGAUACACAAAAUGGCAUCACUCUGGUUCAGAGCUCUAAAAUAAAGUCGAAAAGUUAUUCUAAGAAGGACUACCUACACAACCUGCAACCUUGCAAAAAUAAAACUGGGACUUGCCUCAAAUCUUUGGACUGGGCCAAACUGCUAAGACCACAACAUCCUGGAAAACAGAUGAAUUUCACCAGUGCUACAACUUCUGAACAGCGACAACCAGUGAGCUGUGAACUCAUAUACUAAGCCAGCAGCCUCUACCAAUAAUAAUUUUUUCAAAACAACUCGUGUAAUUACCCUUAUCUUCCUUUUAAAAAUCCUUACUCCCCUUUUCUCUCUUCAGGACAUGAUUUGGCCUUUCCCAAAUCUUUGUUUCCUGAAUUGCAAUUCCUGAGACCACCAAUAAACACCUUGCCUUACUGCUUUGCAGUCUGGUCUCUCACCUCUUCUUGGUUGACAUACUCAAGCAAUUGUGUGAAAAAGAAAGUAGAAGGAGAAGUCAAAUUUCUUAAUUGCCAUUUCAUUUCCCUGGUAUCUUGGUUAGGGGGCAGGAGCAUUGCAGUCAUUAAAAUAAGGUAAACUUCAGUGUGUGCUACUACUGCAGAUUGUUGGCAUAAUGGUUAGAAAAACAAAUUUAGAAAGAAAAGGAGGAAAGCAAGCCAAGUUGAAGCUAUGGUUCCCAAAUUCACAGCACAAUUGAGGAUGUGAAUAUAGUAGAGGAAAGUGGAAGAUGGGAGGGUUAGAGGAGCAGACUGAGGCCUUACAGCUGUACUCUCUGGUGAGGCUGCUGGCUCACUCCUUGGCUCUGUAGUGAGCACAUCUGGGGACAGCCAGUCAGUCCUUAGAGCUAGGGAUCAAAGGGGGACUUGUCCCAAGCCAGGAGCCACAAUCAGGUAGAUCAGAUAGGACCAGCAGCUGGGCUGCUGAAGGGCUGAGCACCGGGAGCCCUGCAGACUGCGGGCAGGCAGGCUGAGGCUCAGGGCCUGAGACUGAGGUGAGGUUGGAACCCAAGGGAACCGCUUUGAAGGAUUCUUGUUAUUUAAAUUGGUCUUUUAUUUCUCAUCACCCAUUGUAGGCUCAUCUAACCAUUUUACAUCACCAAUUUGAUAAGAGCAAUGUGUUAAUGACCCAAGCAAUCAUCCAGGUCUGGUUGAAUUAGGGAGAGCAGGUGAAUUAGCACUAACAAAGUCCACAGAGGUGGCACCAUGUGUCAAGGUCACACAGCAAAACUAGGGCCUGAAUUAAGAGGAAAAUCUUCAUCAUGACCCUCUGCCCCCUGUUCCUCAGCCCUUUAGUUCUCAGGCAGUUCCACUUAAAGCCAUGUGUGCAUGUUUCCAGAUAAGCCACAUCUAGUAGGGGUACCUGAACAUCCUGCUUCCCUCCUCUAUACCUGUGGCCUGGUCCCUUUUGCAAUAUUAAUCUGGCUCUUA